AGAGUUUGAUCCUGGCUCAGAACGAACGCUGGCGGCGUGCUUAACACAUGCAAGUCGAACGUGAUCCAGAGCUUGCUCUGGUGAAAGUGGCGCACGGGUGAGUAACGCGUGGAUAACCUGCCCUGGUAUCUGGGAUAACAUCUCGAAAGGGGUGCUAAUACCGGAUAAGCCUACGGGAUCUUCGGAUUCUACAGGAAAAGGAGGCCUCUAUUUAUAAGCUUCCGUAUCAUGAUGGGUCCGCGUACCAUUAGCUAGUUGGUGGGGUAAUGGCCUACCAAGGCGACGAUGGUUAGCUGGUCUGAGAGGAUGAUCAGCCACACUGGAACUGAGACACGGUCCAGACUCCUACGGGAGGCAGCAGUGGGGAAUUUUGCGCAAUGGGGGAAACCCUGACGCAGCAACGCCGCGUGAGUGAUGAAGGCUUUCGGGUCGUAAAGCUCUGUCAGAGGGGAAGAAAUGAAACGUGCUAAUAUCACGUUUUCUUGACGGUACCCUCAAAGGAAGCACCGGCUAACUCCGUGCCAGCAGCCGCGGUAAUAC
rnacentral:rRNA from 2 species